UGUGGUGCUGAGGAUGGAACCCGGGCCACACGCCUGCCAGCCUGGUGCUCUCUCCCCGAACUGGCCUCUGAGAAUCUUGUAUGCUGUGGUCAUGGCGCCUGUGGUCAUGACACUGGGGUGCUCAGCUUGUUGAAGCUGGGUUGAGGUCUGUGGCCAAACGCUAGUCUGGUAUUGGGAUGCUGUCUGUAAAAUACUACUUGAGGAAUGCUUCAAUAAACAACUUCAUGUCUGUGGA